rnacentral:rRNA from 1 species
GACGAACGCUGGCGGCGUGCCUAAUACAUGCAAGUCGAACGAAGCUUUUUUAACUGGUGCUUGCACCGACUUAAACAACUGAGUGGCGAACGGGUGAGUAACACGUGGGUAACCUGCCCCAAAGCGGGGGAUAACAUUUGGAAACAGAUGCUAAUACCGCAUAACCACAGAAACCACAUGGUUUCUGUGUCAAAGAUGGUUUCGGCUAUCACUUUGGGAUGGACCCGCGGCGUAUUAGCUAGUUGGUAAGGUAAUGGCUUACCAAGGCAAUGAUACGUAGCCAAACAGAGAGGUUGAUCGGACACAUGUGGACUGAGACACGGCCCAAACUCCUACGGGAGGCAGCAGUAGGGAAUCUUCCACAAUGGACGAAAGUCUGAUGGAGCAACGCCGCGUGAGUGAAGAAGGUUUUCGGAUCGUAAAACUCUGUUGUCAGAGAAGAACGUGUGCGAGAGUAACUGUUCGUGCAGUGACGGUAUCUGGCCAGAAAGCCACGGCUAACUACGUGCCAGCAGCCGCCGCGG